rnacentral:rRNA from 1 species
GACGUAGGGCGCGAGCGUUGUCCGGAUUUAUUGGGCGUAAAGAGCUCGUAGGCGGCUUGUCGCGUCGACUGUGAAAUCCCGCGGCUCAACCGCGGGUCUGCAGUCGAUACGGGCAGGCUAGAGUUCGGUAGGGGAGACUGGAAUUCCUGGUGUAGCGGUGAAAUGCGCAGAUAUCAGGAGGAACACCGGUGGCGAAGGCGGGUCUCUGGGUAGUAACUGACGCUGAGGAACGAAAGCGUGGGUAGCGAACAGG